rnacentral:lncRNA from 1 species
GAAGAGCUUUUCUCAACUUUCCGAAACAGCACCCCGCCUGAGCUGGCCAGCCCUCUCUGGUUAGGCAGUCUGCUUUUUAAUAAUUCUUGAAAAGCUGGGCGGACGAGAGAAAGGAUGCUAAGGUUUAUUGGGUCGUCCAUUCUUCCGGAACAUCCUCGACCAGCCCCGAGAGGUAUUGAGUGACGGUCUCAUCAUCAUAUGAAU